rnacentral:rRNA from 1 species
CACGCCGUAAACGAUGACUACUAGGUGUCGGGUAGCAGAGCUAUUCGGUGCCGCAGCCAACGCAAUAAGUAGUCCACCUGGGGAGUACGUUCGCAAGAAUGAAACUCAAAGGAAUUGACG